rfam:Felis catus isolate Cinnamon breed Abyssinian chromosome B2, whole genome shotgun sequence.
GCCUGGGUGGCUUGGUCGGUUAAGCGUCUGACUUUGGCUCAGGUCAUGGUCUCACGGUCCGUGGGUUCGAGCCCCGUGUCGGGCU